GCAAUGUUUUAGUUGGGUUUAGGGAAUAGCCGAAACGUUUUCUGACAACUCGAAACUGAUUUCUCGAUUGACCUACACAUGUAGGCUACCCAUAUUGCAUAGGCCUAUCAUUGAAGGGGCAUCAUGCGUCAAGUGUCCGAUGCACUAUGAGGGGAAAAUUGAAGCCGAGGACUUCACCAGCAGGUUAUGCAGAGAGCUGAACUUCUCACCUCAGCCUUACCUUGUGUCUUUCCUCAAGAGGACCCUCCCUGCUUUCCAUACAGUGCUGGACAAAUAUAUGAACACCCUGUCACUUUUCUUAAAUAAUUCCAUACAUUUCUUCUAAAAUAAAUUUGCAUUUCAAAAAAA